AGCGAACGCUGGCGGCAGGCCUAACACAUGCAAGUCGAACGAACUCUUCGGAGUUAGUGGCGGACGGGUGAGUAACACGUGGGAACGUGCCUUUAGGUUCGGAAUAACUCAGGGAAACUUGUGCUAAUACCGAAUGUGCCCUUCGGGGGAAAGAUUUAUCGCCUUUAGAGCGGCCCGCGUCUGAUUAGCUAGUUGGUGAGGUAAAGGCUCACCAAGGCGACGAUCAGUAGCUGGUCUGAGAGGAUGAUCAGCCACAUUGGGAAUGAGACACGGCCCAAAACCCCUCGGGGAGGAGGCGUGGGGAAUUUUUGCACAAGGGGAAAAACCUUGACGAGCCUAUCCCGGGUAAAGAAAAGGGUUUUAGGGUUUAAAAAUUUUUUCCCCGGGGGAGAAUAAUCGGGUACCCGGGGAAAGGGCCCCGGCCAAGCUUGGAC
rnacentral:rRNA from 1 species